AAAACCAACUCCCCCCCAUCAAUCUUCCCCAUCUUCAUCACUUCGUGAAUUUCGAUUCCUUCCUCUGUCUCUGCCUCUCUCUCGCUAGCAACUCGCUCUUGAUACCCACAAUUCAAGAAACCAUGGACACGACCCCGCUCUCGCACCGGUCCCGGGCCAAGUCCUCCGUGUCGCGCCUCGCCCGGGCCGUCGUCGACUCGAGCAUCGACACCGACGGGUCCCUGAACCUGUCGUCCCUCGACCUGGUCCCUUCGUCCCCCAGGAAGACCCCUUCGCCAUCCCCUCUCUCCCUGAGAUCCUCCAACAACUCCCUCCCCCUCCAGGAGCUCCUGCUGCUCUCCCCUUCGCCUUACAAGCGGUCCAAGACCCGCCUCGCCGAUAGGCUCGAGGCGGCCGACGAUCCCGCGGAGGGGCGCGGGGGCGGCGGGGCGGCGGGGGCGGCGGCGGGGGGCUCGCUGCGCAAGCGGUGCAAGAGGAGGGAGGGGCAGGCGGGACUUCUGGGGUGCGCCUCGCCGAGGGGCAACCGGCGGUCGCGGAGGCGAGCCGAGGCGGAGGUUAGGGAGGAGCGGGAUCUGGGGCUGAUCGAGGAGGCCGUGAAGCAGAGGAGGAAGCACGGCGGGAGGUCGAGGAAGGAGAGGCUUGCCCUGGUGCCUCUCGUGAACACCUCUUCUAGUUUGUCUCUGAACGUAGAAACUGAUGAUGGGGACAAUGGGAAUUUGGACCGAAUUGGACAGGCUAUUACUGACUUGAUAAUGUGGAGAGAUGCGGCGAAAUCGACACUUUGGUUUGGUCUAGGGUCUCUCUGCUUCUUAUCUUCUUGCUUUGCUCAAGGAAUCAGCUUCAGCAUUUUCUCUGCAAUUUGCCAACUGGGACUUCUCUUUUUGGGGUUAUCUUUCUUCUCCAAUUCCAUCUGUCAAAGGAAUAAUGUUGAGAAGAGGCGCGAUUUCCAGUUAAAAGAAGAUGACAUCUUGAGAGUGGCUAGAUUGAUACUUCCCGCUACUAAUCUUGCAAUUUCGAAGACGAGAGAGCUUUUCUCUGGGGAGCCGUCCAUGACCCUUAAAGUAGCUCCAUUUCUCCUUCUUGGAGCUGAAUAUGGCCAUCUCAUCACGCUUUGGAGGCUAUGUGCAAUUGGGUUCUUCAUCAGCUUCACCGGCCCGAAACUAUACUCCCGCUACUCAGCUCGGAUAAGCCAAAGAGUGGAGCGCUCCAAAUGGUGGGUUCUUGAAACAUGGGGUGCUUGCUCCCACAAGAAAAUCGUAGCUGCAUCAGCAAUCAUGGCCUUCUGGAAUCUGACAACAAUAAAGACUCGCUUGCUCUCAGCGUUCAUAUCUGUUGUGAUUCUGCGUUAUCGCCGACAACAUUCGGAAGCAAAUCUUGAAGUAGCUGCAGAAGCAGAAAGGGAAGAUUCAGCAGAGAAGCGGCCUCAAAAGGCUCUAGUCGUCUCGGAAAAGGUGUCCUGCGACUAGUGCCAAGGCUUUAUCAGCCACAUGUGAGACAUUCGUGUUGUGCUGUCCAGAAGCAUUGUAGAUCUCGCAAUGCGGAAAAUAGGCUCUCUCUCCCGCCUUCGGUGAAUAAUCAAUCCAAUUUGCGUGUAAAACUAACAUGUUUCCUGUACAAUAAGAGGUUUUCUUUGUAAAACCGCCUCUUUCGUUGUAGUAAUGUUGUCGACUACACUUGAAGUCGAACUAUCAUGGUUUUCAAAUAUGACCUGACAGGAAUCGAUGGUCAGUUACUGACUCGAGAAGGUCGAGCCCGAUCCCUUACGAAUUCUGCUUGCGAAGCCCCGUGAGACUUCAUGUUCAUGUGUAAUUGUUUAGCUGCCCAAAUGGGCAUGGCUUGGAAAGAGAAACACAGCCUAAAGCUAGCCCAACUCCAACUCCGCCACACGUUUAUCUUCAAUGGUGGUAGAGUCUUGUGCCAA